GACCGCGAGACGACGGCGCCACCCACGCGCGCAUACAAGAAAGGAAUCCCACUAGCCGAGGACGAAACGCAUACAGGACGGUCGGGCGGACCCCCCCCCCCCCCCUUGAGCACACCUACGGCAAUGCGUCGUGUCGCCCGUCUCGUCACCGGGGCAGCCGCUCGCAGCGCUUCAACCGGCGAGGCGAUCUCAAACAGCAUUGCAUCGCACACGGAGCGCGUGUCAGAGGAGUCGCACCCGCUCCUGUAUCAGGUGCCUGUGCUGGCCUCGCGCACGGUCGGCCGCGAGGCUGAGGUGCGCACGCUGUGGCAAAACCUUCUGUGUGGUCGCCACUACCAAGUGCUUGCCGGCCCUGACGGUAUCGGCAAGUCCACUAUCGCUGCCGAGUUCUGUGACACGGUGAAGCACAGCCAUCGGUUCUCCUGCAUUCAGUGGUUCAACGGGCAGCAUGCGCUUCGGUCUCAGCUGCAGCACUUCUUCGCCUCCAUGAAAGCGCGGAAGGAGAAGGACGUGCUGCUGGUUGUGGAUGACGUGGCCUCUCCUGAGGAGGUGGUGGCGCUCGUUCCAGAGCACGCGAGUGUGUACGUGCUGAUGACGACCAGCGCGGCAAAUGUGACAAGCUCGACGAAGAUGGCGUGCCUCUCUCCAUCUCCUCUCUCGCCUCAGGCGAGCCGGCAACUCUCGCCGGAGCUGACGUUCUCGCAGGAGCUGGAGACGGUGUUUUACAACCUGGGCUAUGUACCACUGCUGGUGCACAUAGCCUCCCUGCUCAUAAAGGGAGACGUCUGCCGUGCGCCCCAGCUGGGACGCAUACUGACGGAGAAACGUGUGCGGCGCGACGACACCCUCAGCAUCUCCGCGGCCCUCUCAGUGCUGGCGGAUAUUGGCAUCGCAGAGCUGGAGAAAACGUACCCCGACGCACGCGCGAUGCUGCGCGUCAUCAGCUGCUUUCACACAGGCGACGUGUCGGACGCUGUGGUGGGGGCCAUCGUCGGGGAAGCAGCUGGCGACUUCUCCGUCAAAGCCUCGCAACUCGGCAUCUUCUCGCCCAAGUGGGAAGAGGGCGCAUUAGCGUUGCACCCGCUCGUUGCGAGGGUUCUGCGCGGACCACUGGAUGCACACGUGUUGACGAAGGCGGCAGACGCACUGCUGAGCUUGUGGCCUCGCCGCUGGCGCGGGAGGGGAAGCCGCUUCGCCUACAAUCUUGUCUGGCACACGUAUACGGUGGCGCAGCACUUUGCAGCUUGCGAGGCCGCGCUGACACCGGCCAUCUUAACGGCCAUGGACCGCAGUGCCACGUUCCUCGCUCAUGUCGAGGCGCGAGACUUCGCGGUGGCGGCCCAGUUGUGGAUGCAAGUGUACGAGCAACACGUAGCGCGGCAGGAGGAGGCGUCUCCGGACAGUGUGCGGAUGCUGCGGGAGUGCGGCCGCCUGCUUCACUUCCUGAAGGACCCCCGCGCAGAGGAGGUCUUGCAGCGCGCAUGGAAGGACUGCGUGGUGGUAUACGGGAAGAGCUCCGCCGAGUCGGCGCUCAUUAUGGGCUGCCUCGCGCCGUAUUUACCAGCAAAUAACGAUAAUCUGUCACUGGUGGAGGAGGCGGUGGCUGUGCUGGAAGGGCGCCUCGCCUCUGUCGACCUCGUGCUGGCGAGGGAGGAGGUUCGUAUGCUGUGGCAGACAAUCUUUGUGCUGCUCAUGUGCAAGGGCCAGUACAUGACGGAGAUGAAGUUGGCCAUUCCGGACGAUCUCAUGCGUGCCCUCGAGCGGGCCGACGCCGAGGCGAAGAAGAUGAGGUAAGCAAGUCUUUGACGAAAGGUUUCGCUACCACUGGUGCACGGCGCUGCUGCUCCAACCUUUUCGAGGGGAUGCACUUCUCUCUCGAUAUAUAUAUAUAUAUAUAUAUAUAUAUCGACAGCGCCGUUUCUCCUUGUCUGUGCAGGGGCUGUUCACAUACUGGGUAGGCAGGGUGCAGGAAGGGGUUGGCUAAUGCAGACUUCCAUGUCGGCGUAGGGUUCAGGCGGGUGCGUGUUAGAGAGCUCAGGUUGGCCUGUUCGCAUCAUGCACGUGUGAGAGUCUCCGUGAGUCUGCGCGUGCGAGCGUGGCGCAUUGGCUUAACGCACCUCCUCCUGCUUCCCUAUUUUAUGCACCCACUUUUCCUGGCCGCUGCUCACGCUGUGAGCGGAUUCAGCCAUAGAAAAGACGCAUACGCGCGUGCGCGCGGCUGGCGGUGCUGUCGUUUGAUAGAGAACGGCAUGUAUUCUGCGGGGGAGGGCGCUGCACACCUCCCACACGCACUGGCAGGCAUACAUGUACCUGCGCUCGAGCAUGUGUGUGCGCCGGCGCCGUCUUUCG
rnacentral:misc_RNA from 1 species